rnacentral:lncRNA from 1 species
AGUACCAAACCGAAGUUUAGCACUGUGCAGCUGAGAUUUUGUGCAGCCAGACGAUGCAUGAGUUGCAAUUGCUCAGAAGCUUUUCAGCUGAUUGCAACAGUGUGAUUUUAGAUCUGUUCCUAAUCUGGGAGGCGUUUUCCUCAGGAAACCUGAACUUAGAUGAGUUACGAAGAGGAUUUCCUUAUCUCGAACAGCGACAAUUAUUUCAAGAGCCACAUGGGAGCAGGCAGUUGAUUUUUGGACAGCCUCUGAACUUAUGCAAAGUUGCUGACAACGAGUGUGUUCUAGCUUUUGGAAAUCCUAUAAUCCUGGCUUCAAUCAAGAGGAUCUGCUGUUGCUGAAGGCGUAAACAAGGAGAGAAGCAGCAUGUGACCAGUGCUCCUGCACCUUCAAGGACUCCUGAGCUAAAACAAGUGCAACAGUAAAGCUUCUGCUGGAUACUCAAAAUGACACACACGUUUUGGAUGAUCCUGGUGAAGAUCCUGCAGGAAAGUUGUCUUUGGACUCUGCAUUUUCCCCUGUAGCUGUGUUGUGUAUAUUUCUCCCCACUCCCCUCUCACUCCUUUGAUUUUCUUCUUGCCAUCUGUAUUCCCCUUUUGCCUCAUCUGAAACAAGCAUCAAGAUCUUGUUUCUGACAGAACGGUCUGUCAAUAUGGAAACACACUGACAUCACAGACAGUGCUGUGACUUCAUGUCUGAAGGAAACAGGAGGAACAGAUGAAAGGAGUGAAGGGAAUGGAAUGACACAUGCAAACAUUUUUAAAAAAAUAAGUAAAAAUUCUUCUCUAUCAAUCCGAAAUGUAAAGGAACAUAAAACAGAUUUAUUUUUAAGCCUAAAUAUAACCAACUAUUUCUUAAUCUGUGACCAUAACUCAGCACAUUUCAACAUGCUUUUCACCCAAGAGUGGUAACUCUCCCUUGCGAGUGUGUGACAGCCAACACGACCUCUUGAGGAAGACUAAAUGGGGACUGAUCUGGAAAAAAGCUUGUAUCAAGCGUAGUGCUGAUACCUGGCAAAAGCCUUUAGAGGGAAAUAAGGACUCCCGUCCCUGGACUAAUGUAAAACAUCUCAGUAAAUGCAAAUUCAUACAAUUAAAGUAUUUAUCAAAACCACAAACUCAGUUCUGAUGCAGCUGGAUCAAAGGUAGCAUUACCCCACUGAUGGGGGGGGUACAAGAUGUACCCAGAAAAUAUUCAUAUUAUACAGGCAGGUAAUAAUUAUCGCUUUACUAUUUUCUGUUUUCUACCUAGAAUGAAAUAGUAACAGAAGUGUCCAACUGUUAUUUAUAUUACUAGCUUUUUUGCUAUAAGAACUUGGGAGGAGUUAGAAGCUCUGCAUUUCCUUUAUUAUUUGACAUAUGUAUUUUAGCUCUAACAUUAGGGGGCACCCAGAAGAUAUCACUUUCCUGCCACCUCCAGAGCCACUAUAAUAAGGAGAAUCGUAACUAGUAGGAGAGGAGCUCAAGAAAACUAAAAGGUUAAUAUAUUCUAACUAGAUGUUGGGUAUAGAAUGUCAGAUCUGUCAAAUUUCAUUACAGUUUGCUGCUCAAUGAAAAAGAUUUGAUUUCUUUUGCCACUGUCCUACUAUGUUCAAGUCACACAGUGCCAGCAGCAACCAGCCAACGACCACAGGCUGGCACUGAGCGGGCCCGAGUGGGAAGCCAGCCGCAAGGACCAUCUGUUUCCGAUUUCUAGCGAAGCCAAGAUGUGCAGUGAAGUGCAUUCCAUUCACCCAGCCAGCCUUCUCCCUGCUCAAGUUAUUAGUGUUACAAGUGAAAUUAUCUUUUCCAAACAGCAGGGGAGCUAUAAUCCUUAUGGAACAAGACUUGAGAAAAGGGGAAAAAAAAAAAAAAAAAGAGGAGGAAAGAAGAAAAAGGAUAGAAAAAAGCCCCCCCAAACACCCUCCUUCACCCAAACAUCUUUUGUUAAAGUUGUCGAUGACACUGUUUGUAAAUUUAAUUGCCAUGUUCACGGGUUUUAGAAUUUUAAAGGAUGUUUGAUUAAGAACUAUAUCCUCUAAGGGAAGAAUACGCACGUCAGUUCAUGGGAUCUAAUGCAAUAAACCAUUCAAAUAUAUUUAGAGUGUUAUUUAUGAAUAAAGUUAAAAAUGACAAGA